GGGCCGUUAGCUCAGUCGGUAGAGCAUCGGACUUUUAAUCCGGCGGUCGCAGGUUCGAUUCCUGCACGGCCCACAA
rnacentral:tRNA from 1 species